UUAUGCACUUGCUAUUCAGUAUUCAUAAGGUGGCAUGCUUGAUUCUCAUUGUUUUUAAAGAUAAGAAAAUUGGAGAGAGAAUACCAUUAUGUCAACUGUAUAGGACUCUGAAUCUUAAAGAUGUAGAUGGAUAUAAUCUUCUUUAGAAUUUAUAUACACCCAUAGAUAUGUAUUUAUAUAUGCAUACAUUUUGUACAAAUUUACAAUGGACUUUUUGUAUUCUCUUUUCUGUCAUUACAAGAAUGAGAUGGAAACCAAAUAGUUGUUCCAUCCUCUUAUCCAGAGAGGAUACUGAGAAGUUGGGUAUAUGCAUGCACUUAUUUCUCUGGAGUUAAAUCUGAAUGACUUUCUCUUUAUUUAAUGAAAGGGGAGAGUUCUGUUUGACUCGGGGGAAUUGGUAAUUAGAUAAGCUUCCUUUCCUUGUUAGUGACUCAAAUGUAGCAAUGAUACUGAAUUUAUGACCAUAUCUAUGUGGUCUGAAUAUCUAGAUGGAAAACAAAAAUACCUAGAAGAGAUUUAGGGCCAUCUAGACCACAAACCUGGAUUGUGGCUCAAUUUUUAAUUUUCAGCCUAUAUGUGGUGUGGAGAUACAAUUUAUAUCUGCAUAGCUAAAGGUAAAGUGAAAAUAUGACCAUUAUCUGUUUAGUUUGAUAAGUAGUAUUUGGAAAAUAUGGAUAAAGUAGCUUUAAAAAACUUUGGCAUCUGACUUUUUCCACUGUUUCUAUCUAUAUCAAUUUAAUUAAUUAGAUAAUGGUUAAAAUUCCAUUUUCCAUUGUGCAGGCAUGCUUUAAAUGCUUUUCUGUGGGUGACAGUUGAGCAAUUGCUAGCUGAUAUUAUGUGGAUGUUGUAGGUUAAAUUAGAACCAGAAGCUUAAUCUGGUCAGGCUCCUCAGGUCCAUUCCCAUGUGAAUCUGGACUUUGAGUCUAAAUCUGAAAAGCCACUCAUCUGGGCUAUUCUUUUUUGGAACUAGUGUUUGUGGCUCAUAGAUGUUUUAGUUUACAUUAGGAUAAAUUGACCUAUCUACUGAAGGAUACUUAAUCAUUGAAUUGAACGUAAAUCUUAUUCUGAUUUGUUUUUUAUUUAUUUGAUAACAUUUGAGAAACAGUUUCAAUGGCUUGAAAUCAAUACUUAUUAAUGUCACCAACCUAAUAAUACAAUUGGUGCCAUGUAGGAAUGCUUAGCUUAGGAUAGAAUUUAAUUAGCUUUAAUUAGGGACAUGUCUUAUUAAGAUGGUCCUAUCUGUGUGAGGGAGGGGCAUGUGAUUUCACUGG
rnacentral:lncRNA from 1 species